rnacentral:rRNA from 1 species
CCUACGGGGGGUAGCAGUGAGGAAUAUUGGUCAAUGGACGAGAGUCUGAACCAGCCAAGUAGCGUGAAGGAUGACUGCCCUAUGGGUUGUAAACGUCUUUUAUAUGGGAAUAAAAUGUUCCACGUGGGGGAUUUUGUAUGUACCAUAUGAAUAAGGAUCGGCUAACUCCGUGCCAGCAGCCGCGGUAAUAUGGGGGAUGCAAGCGUUAUCCGGAUUUAUUGGGUUUAAAGGGUGCGUAGGCUGGGAGUUAAGUCAGCGGUGAAAUGCCCCGGCUCAACGGGGUGAAGUGCCAUUGAUACUGCCGUGCUGGAAUGCGGAUGCCGUGGGAGGAAUGGGUGGUGUAGCGGGGAAAUGGAUAGA